rnacentral:lncRNA from 1 species
AUGUUGCAUUCCUUCAGGGGCUCAUCACCCCAGUCCUUGCAGUCUCUCUGCUGGUUACACACUUUAUUGAUAUCUAUGCACACAAAGUCAGAUUCAGCACACGUCUUCUUCACACAAGCACUCUCAUCACUGCCAUCUGAGCAGUCUUCACAUUUUGCUCUAGCACUGUCGGCAGCAGUGCACAGGCAGGCGAGAGCGAGCAGCAGGCAGAGUGCCCCGCAGCGCGGCAGCGCCCGCCGCUGUCCCGCACUGUCACCUGUGUCACUUAUACUACUCCUAUUCCCCAUGCUGUUAGUGUCAGUGGCAUCCUCCUGGUACCGUUUCUGUCUUUGUCGCCCCUUACUCUCCCCCUUUUCUUUUUGCCACUGACCAUUCACCACAAAUGGAUGAGACACAUGAUUACUAGUUAGGAAAGAGAGUGUAACGUCUGCUAUACGGCUGCAGGCAGUGCCAGCUGCAAUCCUAGAAACUGUUUGUGAACGAGCCUGCCGGUGGUCAUUUGGCAGUGUAAUCUGCGUCUCUGCACUCCUGCCCCGCAACAGAGCUAAAUCGUCAUUAGUAAUCCGUAGAAUGUGGCAACCCCACGGAAUGUCAUCCAGAAACAUAGUUAUAACACUGAUCUGGGGACGAAUAGUCUUUUUUGCAUUGCAAGAUAAACUUCUUAUAAAAAGAAUGCCAGAGAGAAGCAGCACAGCCGCCGCUGCUUCCAUGGUUCCGUCACACAGGCUGCAGGGUCCUGAUCUCCUCCCCUCUGCUCUGUGCCGACUCACCACACGGUGAGGGUUGGCUGCCGUUGUCCUCUGAUGCCUCUGGUCUCCCGUAGCAACUUGAUCUCGGAUGUCCCGCAUCGCACCGCGAUUACUUCAAUUUCCCACGUCCCCCCGUGGUUCCUUUUCCCGCGCUCCCCGCGGUUUCUUUUCCCCGUGUCUCACCGUGAGUCCUUUGUCCGGGUCAGUGCGUAGAGUGUCUCAACAUUUCUCAGGUGUUCCGGCGUCCGCCAGGUCUGUCCGUGUCUCUCGUAGUUGGCCGUAGCCCUGCAGCGUCAGCCAGUGCUCUCUCCGUGCGGUGGUAGGCAUUCCGUGUGCCUCGGGUCUCCCGGCGCCGCUCCGAUGUCCCGGCGCCGCUGGUGUCAGCCUGUUCGGGUCUCUCCUAUUCAGGUCUCAGCCUGUUCGGGCGCCAUUUGUUAGAGGACGCAUGGCCGAAAGCACGACAGACACCAGUAGAAUCAGAUCAUGCUCCAUUUUAUUGCCCGAAUAGCCUAACUUUUAUAGUGAACUUAACAGGGGCGGACAGUGUUUCACACAAGAUUAUUGGUCAAAAGCACUCAGACAAACAACUACAAGAAAACAACCCCACCUGCAAGAAAACAACCCCCUUGUGAUUAGCAGUCACGUAGACCUUGUCCUUGAAGCCAGCUGCUGGUAACAAUAUUUUUCUGAAUUCCUCAAUUGGGCAACGUGGGAACACUGUCAUGGGAACUUCUCAUAGUUGCCCUGGUAGCUUGGUUUGCUCAGCUACAGCAGGCCAUGGGAUUUGCUAAGGUCUACUCCUGGUUGCUUAAAGCAAGCUCAGAUCAAACAAUUGUUCCACGGACUCAUGUCCACGCCCUUUGUGCCAAUUCCCAACAAACCCCUGUGCUGGGCCCUGAGACCACUCCAGCCGCUGUAACAGGCACUGCAGCCACUCCAGCCUCUGUGCUGGGUCCUGUGGACACUGCAACUACCAUGAAAAGCCCCAUGGCUGGACUAGAGAACCAACCUGUGCCAGGAUCAGUUGCCCCUAUAUAUAAGAUGAAACAAUGG